CCGACUUGUCCAACUCUUGACAUUGUUGCUGAAAUUGAUUCUCAUUUUAGGCUGCUUAACCUGGACGAGCAGCAAGUGGUACGGAGCACAUGCAAACAGAACACCACACUGAAACAUCUGGUUGCUGUUAAUCCACACGGCGCUGUAAUGUUUGUGUCAAAAACAUGUGGAGGCAGAAUAUCUGACAAAGAACUGACAUUGUCAAGUGGAUUUAUGGAGCAUCUUGAAAGUGGAGACCAAGUUCUGGCAGAGCGUGGAUUCUUGCUUUUUGAAGAAUUUUAUGAAAGAAAUGUGCAGCUGAUAACGCCCAGUUUUGUCAAGAGCCGAGUCCAACUACCAGGACAGGAGGUCACCACAUCAAG